UAACGAAUCUUCCGCAAUGCGCGAAAGUGUGACGGAGUAAUGUCGUGUGUAGGAUGAAGUUUUUGGGGUGUAAAUUGUUGUUAGGGUUUAGUAACAUAAUGAGUAGAUCCAAAGGAAGAGUUGACUAAUUUUGUGCCAGUAGUUGUGGUAAUAUAGAGGGCUCGAGUGUUGUGCGGAGUUACUGGGCUUAAAGUGUAUGUAGGUGGGUGUGUAGGUAUCGUGUGAAAUUUUUCGAUUUAAUUGGGGAACUGCUCGGUGAACUGUACGUUUUGAGGUCAGUAGGGGCGGUCGGAACGAUAGGUGGAGCGGUGAAAUGCGUAGAUAUCUAUCGGAACGCCGAAGGUGAAGAUAGGUCGUUGGGCUGAUUCUGAUGUUGAGGUACGAAAGCGUGGGGAGCAAACG
rnacentral:rRNA from 1 species